AACGCGAAGAACCUUACCUGGGCUCGAAAUGUUGUGGACCGGGGUAGAAAUAUCCCUUCCCCGCAAGGGGCUGCAAUAUAGGUGCUGCAUGGCUGUCGUCAGCUCGUGUCGUGAGAUGUUGGGUUAAGUCCCGCAACGAGCGCAACCCUUAUCUCCAGUUGCUACCAUUUAGUUGAGCACUCUGGCGAAACCGCCUCGGAUAACGGGGAGGAAGGUGGGGAUGACGUCAAGUCCUCAUGGCCUUUAUGUCCAGGGCUACACACGUGCUACAAUGGCCGGUACAAACCGUUGCAAACCCGCGAGGGGGAGCUAAUCGGAAAAAGCCGGCCUCAGUUCGGAUUGCAGUCUGCAACUCGACUGCAUGAAGCUGGAAUCGCUAGUAAUCGCGGAUCAGAACGCCGCGGUGAAUACGUUCCCGGGCCUUGUA
rnacentral:rRNA from 1 species